AGUGAACGCUGGCGGUAGGCCUAACACAUGCAGGUCGAACGGCAGCACAGUAAGAGCUUGCGCUUACGGGUGGCGAGUGGCGGACGGGUGAGGAAUACAUCGGAAUCUACUUUUUCGUAGGGGAUAACGUAGGGAAACUUACGCUAAUACCGCAUACGACCUACGGGGGAAAGCGGGGGAUCUUCGGACCUUGCGCGAUUGAAUGAGCCGAUGUGGGAUUAGCUAGUUGGCGGGGUAAAGGCCCACUAAGGCGACGAUCCGCAGCUGGUCGGGGAGGAUGGUAGCCCGCAUUGGAACUGGGCCACCCACAAGGCUCCUGCGGGACGCAGCAGUCGCGAACAGUGGACAGUGGGCGCAAGCAUGACCCAGCCAUACCGCGUGGGUGAAGAAGGCCUUCGGUUUGUAAAGCCCUUUUGUUGGGAAAGAAAAGCAUCAGCUUAAUACCCCGCUGUUCUGACGGUACCCAAUGAAUAAGCACCGGCUAACUUCGUG
rnacentral:rRNA from 1 species